AAAAAGGCCCUUUUCAGGGCCACUUUACAUACAAUUGCUACACCAAU
rfam:Octopus bimaculoides Scaffold49768_contig_39, whole genome shotgun sequence.